rnacentral:rRNA from 1 species
AGCGAACGCUGGCGGCAUGCCUAACACAUGCCAGUCGAACGAGACCUUCGGGUCUAGUGGCGCACGGGUGCGUAACGCGUGGGAACCUGCCCUUAGGUUCGGAAUAACUCCCCGAAAGGGGUGCUAAUACCGGAUAAUGUCUUCGGACCAAAGAUUUAUCGCCUUUGGAUGGGCCCGCGUUGGAUUAGCUAGUUGGUAGGGUAAAAGCCUACCACGGCGACGAUCCAUAGCUGGUCUGAGAGGAUGAUCAGCCACACUGGGGCUGAGACACGGCCCAGACUCCUACGGGAGGCAGCAGUGGGGAAUAUUGGACAAUGGGCGAAAGCCUGAUCCAGCAAUGCCGCGUGAGUGAUGAAGGCCUUAGGGUUGUAAAGCUCUUUUACCCGGGAUGAUAAUGACAGUACCGGGAGAAUAAGCUCCGGCUAACUCCGUG